UACGGAAGGCAGCAGUGGGGAAUAUUGCACAAUGGGCGCAAGCCUGAUGCAGCCAUGCCGCGUGUAUGAAGAAGGCCUUCGGGUUGUAAAGUACUUUCAGUCGUGAGGAAGGUGUUAAGGUUAAUAACCUUAGCAAUUGACGUUAGCGACAGAAGAAGCACCGGCUAACUCCGUGCCAGCAGCCGCGGUAAUACGGAGGGUGCGAGCGUUAAUCGGAAUUACUGGGCGUAAAGGGCACGCAGGCGGUUAAUUAAGUUGGAUGUGAAAUCCCCGGGCUUAACCUGGGAAUGGCAUUCAAGACUGGUUAGCUAGUAGUCUUGUAGAGGGGGUAGAAUUCCAUGUGUAGCGGUGAAAUGCGUAGAGAUGUGGAGGAAUACCGGUGGCGAAGGCGGCCCCUGGACAAAGGACUGACGCUCAUGUGCGAAAGCGUGGGGAGCAAACAGGGAUUAGAUACC
rnacentral:rRNA from 1 species